rnacentral:lncRNA from 1 species
UUAAUUGUUAAGAGGUAUGCAAAAUUUGAAUAAAAAUCAAUAAUUUGUUCAUUAGAUAUUGAGGUUUAAAUCUACUGUAAGAAUUAUUUGGGAUUAAUUAGGAUUUGAUUUAAGAUUUGAUUAGGAUUUGUCUAGGAUUUGGUUAAUUCUUAUUUAGAGCUUGUAUAAGUUUUGAUCAAGAUUUAUUCAAUAUUGAUUAGGAUUUAUUUGGAGUUUGACUGGAAUUUAUUUAGGAUUUGAUUAGGAUUUGGUUAGAAUUAGGAUUUGAUUAGGGUUAGGAUUUGAUUUGGUUAAGGAUUUGGUUUGAUUAAAGAUUUGGUUUAGAUUUCUUUAGAGCUUCUUUAGAAUUUCUUUUUAUUUUUUUUAUAAUUUAUUUCAAAUAAAUAAAUAAAUAAUAAUUCGACUUAAUUGAUGCUUGAUUAUGGUUGUUAAGCUUUUAUAGCAAUUUAUAUACAAUUUUAUUAGAUUGAUUAGGAUUGGUUGCAAAUUCCUUUUAUCUUCCACAGCCGAGAGCCUAGUACAUUCUCAAGUAAGAUUUCAUGUAAUACAACAUUGUUGGUUUA